rnacentral:rRNA from 1 species
UACAGAGGGGGCAAGCGUUGUUCGGAAUUACUGGGCGUAAAGGGCGCGUAGGCGGCCUUCUAAGUCGAACGUGAAAUCCCCGGGCUCAACCCGGGAACUGCGUCCGAUACUGGAAGGCUUGAAUCCGGGAGAGGAUGUGGAAUUCCAGGUGUAGCGGUGAAAUGCGCAGAUAUCAGGAGGAACACCGAUUGCGAAGGCAGCUCGCUGGGACGUUACUGACGCUGAGACGCGAAAGCGUGGGGAGCAAACAGG